GACGAACCGUACGAACGUUAUUCGGGAUCACUGGGCUUAAAGGGUGCGUAGGCUGCGCAGCAAGUUGGGUGUGAAAUCCCUCGGCUUAACCGAGGAACUGCGCCCAAAACUGCUGUGCUCGAGGGAGAUAGAGGUGAGCGGAACUUAGGGUGGAGCGGUGAAAUGCGUUGAUAUCCUAAGGAACACCGGUGGCGAAAGCGGCUCACUGGAUCUCUUCUGACGCUGAGGCACGAAAGCUAGGGUAGCGAACGGG
rnacentral:rRNA from 1 species